rnacentral:rRNA from 1 species
AAGUCGUAACAAGGUUUCCGUAGGUGAACCUGCGGAAGGAUCAUUAUUGAAUAAACUUGGUCAAGCUGUUGCUGGUCCUUCGGGGCAUGUGCACGCUUGCCACCAAAUUUAACCACCUGUGCACCUUUUGUAGACUGGAAAACAGUUUCUCGAGGCAACUCGGAUUGGGGACUGCUGUGCGCAAGCCGGCUGUCCUUGUGUUUCUCAGUCUAUGUUCUUACAUACCCCGAAUGAAUGUAUUAGAAUGUAUUGUUAGGCCUUAGUGCCUUUAAAUCAAAUACAACUUUCAACAACGGAUCUCUUGGCUCUCGCAUCGAUGAAGAACGCAGCGAAAUGCGAUAAGUAAUGUGAAUUGCAGAAUUCAGUGAAUCAUCGAAUCUUUGAACGCACCUUGCACCCUUUGGUAUUCCGAAGGGUAUGCUCGUUUGAGUGUCAUUGUACUCUCACACUUCUGAUUCGUUUUGGAUUAGGAGCGGUGGACUUGGGUGGUUGCUGCUUUACUGUGGCUCACCUCAAAUGAGUUAGUGCAACUCUUGGUUGGACAUAGUACGGCGUGAUAAGUGUCUUCGCCGGCGCCUCUAAGGAGGGUGGCCGAUUGGGAGCUCUGUGCUUCAAACCGUCUUCGGACAAUCUCUGACAACUUGGCCUCAAAUCGAGUAGGACUACCCGCUGAACUUAA